ensembl:lncRNA
GUGAAAAGUAUAAGAUUGGUCAAGAAUAAGGAGCCACUGGCUUGAUUCAUGUUGGGGAUGAACUGAAGAAGGUCAAUGGAAUCCCUGCGGAUGACAAUAACUGGAGGAAAUCAUUCAUAUUCUGACACCAGUCGGGCCAAGAAGAACCAGGAGACCGAUGGUGGGGAUUACCACUUCAUGUCCAAGCAGCUCUUUGAGACGGACAGCCACACCAACAAGAGGAAGACUUUCAGGAGAUGGUGAACACGGCCCAGACAAUGGAGACUCAGUACAGCCAUCUCUUUGAGAUGGUUAUAGUCAACGACGACCUUGAUGUUGCCUUCAGCGAGCUGCAGUUGGCACUAAAGAAAGUGGAGACAGAGACACACUGGAUUCCAGUCAGCUGGACUCACUCCUGAGAGACAUACUGACUGUAAAAGGAGAAAAGGGAAGCGCUUUGACAAAAAUAUGCAGGUUUUCUAUCUUUUAAAAAAAAUAUUUGCCACGGACGGUGUUGGGAAGUAAAUCAGGAAUAAAACAGUGCCUGGCUGCUGUGUCGCCAUACCUGAACUGCAUCGAGCUAAAAAUAAGCUUGUGCCUGGGAUCAGGUUGGAUUUAGACCUCAGCUGUGGUCUGGAAGCUCCAGGUCUGACCAGAUGUGAUCGGGUUGUGGCUGCAGGCUUCUUUCCAGAAUCUAAGACUUGGAAAUUGAUCAGGG